ACUCAUAUCAGAUUAGCUAAAUAUGAUUUCCCAAUAUUGGGGGACGUCCGAUACACUAAGGACCAGACUAUUCUCCUAUACAAAUUUUGGACCGUUGGAUUUUAUAAGCCCAAUCCGACUAUCCAAAAUUUUGGCCCAAAUUUGCCUCAUUCAAUCGAUCGCUUUCUUCUUCUAAUCACAAUUUGCUAUUCUCUCUCUUAUCUUCAUGCAGGGUCAGAGGAAAAAUAUUCAAUUCAAUGGUUUGUUUUAUUUCUCAGGCAUCACUUCCCAAUCCAAAGAGAUUUAUCUCGACCACAAGUAGGCAGUAGCAAGCAAAUAUCAGAGGCAUUUCAAGAGACAUUUUUAACUUCAUUUUCAUGUCCUUGUACAUCAUAUUCUUACUUCAUUUUUAUCUUCUCGCGUCUGUUGAUUUUGGGAUCUGAUCUUGGGAACAUGAGAAGCCAUGAUUUUAGUUCAUGUAUUUCAUCUCUUUCCCCUAGAUGCAUUUAUUUUCGAAUGCUACACAAAACCUACAUUUCUUCAUGCUUCUCUUUUUCCUCUCAUUAAUCUCUCUUGCGGUGACGAUCAGAUCUCCCAUUAUCUACGUAUUUGCACGAAAUCGACUGUCUGAAGAGCGAUGUCUGCUUGCUUUCUCUAUUCUCUUCAACUACUAUUUGAGUUAAGAGAUUACCCAUCCAUUUGAGAGUGUGUAUAUCUGAUAGCGAGCUCCUUCACAUCGUCCGCGAGUUCUGGUGGUGGCGGCCCUGUGAUCGAGAUGGGAAGCAAGUCGGCUGCUGCCUAGAUUUGGCGACCUAUUUCAGCCUUGGGAAUUUUAAGGUGUCGGAGCUUUCAAGAGAUAGUAUCAAUGGACCAGAGAGAUAUUCGCUCUGAAGUUUAUCGGAGAGCCCAAAAGAUUUGCGACCUAGAGAACGGUGUUGACAUCUUGGUUGCUGCCCCUGCCCCUCGGAGCCUAAUGGAUAUGGUUGAGAGAGGAAAAGUUUCUCUUAAAAUGGGCAAAUGCCUGGCUUUCUUCUUUUUUAUAGAUACACGAGGAGGAAUUUGCUUAUGAAACUAGGAUUAAGAUUAGUGUUGUUUAUGGAGGAGCAACCAUCGUGCAGCAGGUACUAUGACGCUUUCCUCUCUUUGAUGAAGUGUGAAGUUCUUUUUCCACCUGGAAAGAAAGAGAUUAUUGACGGUUUUGUAUCAUUUUUUACUUGAAUGUUCACAAUUGGUUAUAUGCUCUGGUGUAUUUACCAUAAUUGAGAUUAUCGAUUUGGGUUCAUUGUUCUGUUCUCUGUGUGUGACUAAUUUGAAAAGAACUUUCACAUGAUAGA